GUUUAAAUGUGUGCUUGGUUAAUUAAUAAUAAACGAUAAGUAAUGUACUGUGAUGGAAUAUUAAAUAAAUUUUAGGAAAUAAUUGGUUUUAAAUCCUUUUGUAUAAGGAUUUAAUAAGUUUAUGUUAGGAUUAAUUGAUCCCGAAAUGGUGUGAGCUAAAAUUUUUUGAGUAGUUGUGUUAUAAACUGAUUGUAAUAAUUUUUUAGUUGUGAAAUGCUAUACGGACUUUAAGAUAGCUGGUUGCUGAAGAAAUUAAUAUAUGUAAUGAUUUUUAUUCUUGAGUUGUUAUAUUGAUUGAUUAAUAAAAGUUCAAAUGUUAGUUGGGAUAAGCUAAUUAAUUUAAUUUAUAUUUAUUUUGUUUUUAAUUUCAUUGUGUUUGGAAGUUGCAGCUUGGUGUGUUAUAAUGUAUUUAUUUUUGUUGUUUGGUAAUUAAUUUUUUAUUUGGUUGUUUUUGUGAUUUAUAUUUGAUUAAUAAUAAUGUUAGAAUGAGUAGAAUGUUAAUAGUAUAUUGAAAUUUAAUUUUUUUUGUAUAAUUAAGUGAAUUUUUUUUUAGUAAUUCGGCAAAUAGUUUCCGUGCCUGUUUAUCAAAAACUCGGUUUUUAGUAAUUACUAAAAAUCUAACCUGCCAAUUGUGAAAAUGAAAGGCCGCAGUAUUUUGACUGUGCGAAGGUAGCAUAAUCAUUUGUUCUUUAAUUGGGGACUUGUAUGAAAGGUUAAACAUGGAGAAGCUGUCUUAGAAAAAGUGUUUGAAAUUUUAUUUUUUGUGAAGUUACAAAAGUGUAAUUAAGGGACGAGAAGACCCUAGAGAACUUAUCCCUUUUUCCUUCCUUUUUUUUUCCUGGAAGGGAAAAGGGUUUAACUGGGGUGGUUUUGAAAGAUUUAAUAUCUUUUGAUUUAUGUUAUUGAUUGGUAAAUUGUAUAAGGAUCCUUUGUUGUAGAUUGUAAGUUUAAGUUACCUUAGGGAUAACAGCGUUAUGUUUUUAUGGAGUUCUUAUUUAUAAAAGUGUUUGCGACCUCGAUGUUGAAUUAAGUUUUCUUUUUGGUGCAGGAGCUAUGUAAGAAGGUCUGUUCGACUUUUGAAUUUUUACGUGAUUUGAGUUCAGAUCGGUGUAAGCCAGAUCGGUUUCUAUCUUUAGUUUAAUAUGUGUUGAUUUGUACGAAAGGACUGUCGGCUUUUGAGUUUUGGU
rnacentral:rRNA from 1 species